CCCUGGAGUGCAGAUGGCUCCACUGCUGUGCUAGCUGCAAACUGCCAGAGCUGAAUAGAUCCCACAGCUGUUAAAAUAACCAGUGGUUCACUGUCCGAGGCCACAGGUUGAAAAUGGAAGAAUGACGACUACAAGACAAGCGUUCACAUACGGUGUCACUGUUCGGUUCUCUUGCAAGGAAGGCUACCUGCUCCAUGGCAGUAGAGUGAGUCAGUGUCAGGAUGACAACACCUGGAAUCCUCCUGUGCCAAGUUGUCAGCCCGGAUAUGGAGACGGCAGGAAGGAAAAGCCAUUGUUUUGCCAGCCUGCCCAAACAACAGCUAAGGCCAGCUCCGAGGAUGACAGUUGAGAAAGCAGUUGGAGAGUCUUGAAUGGAGAUUGCCCUCUUGGCAAUUCUAAAAUUUUACAAUAUACAGCUGAACAAGUGUGACACAGGCUUUAUAAAU